UAAUGAUGAGAGGUUAAGCGUGCUUUAAGGU
rnacentral:piRNA from 1 species